AGUGAACGCUGGCGGUAGGCCUAACACAUGCAAGUCGAACGGCAGCACAGUAAGAGCUUGCUCUUACGGGUGGCGAGUGGCGGACGGGUGAGGAAUACAUCGGAAUCUACUUUUUCGUGGGGGAUAACGUAGGGAAACUUACGCUAAUACCGCAUACGACCUACGGGUGAAAGCAGGGGAUCUUCGGACCUUGCGCGAUUGAAUGAGCCGAUGUCGGAUUAGCUAGUUGGCGGGGUAAAGGCCCACCAAGGCGACGAUCCGUAGCUGGUCUGAGAGGAUGAUCAGCCACACUGGAACUGAGACACGGUCCAGACUCCUACGGGAGGCAGCAGUGGGGACUAUUGGGCAAUGGGCGCAAGCCUGAUCCAGCCAUACCGCGUGGGUGAAGAAGGCCUUCGGGUUGUAAAGCCCUUUUGUUGGGAAAGAAAAGCAGCAGGUUAAUACCCCGCUGUUCUGACGGUACCCAAAGAAUAAGCACCGGCUAACUUCGU
rnacentral:rRNA from 1 species